GUGAGGAAUAUUGGUCAAUGGGCGGAAGCCUGAACCAGCCAUGCCGCGUGAAGGAAGAAGGUCCUAUGGAUUUUAAACUUCUUUUGUCGGAGAGCAAUAAGGGUCUCGUGAGAUCCGAUGAGAGUAUCCGACGAAUAAGCAUCGGCUAACUCCGUGCCAGCAGCCGCGGUAAUACGGGGGAUGCGAGCGUUAUCCGGAUUUAUUGGGUUUAAAGGGUGCGUAGGCGGUCCGGUAAGUCAGCCGUGAAAAGCCCCCGCUCAACGGGGGUCGUGCGUUUGAUACUGUUGGACUGGAAUGCGGAUGCCGUGGGAGGAAUGUGUGGUGUAGCGGUGAAAUGCAUAGAUAUCACACAGAACACCGAUUGCGAAGGCAUCUCACGAAUCCGCAAUUGACGCUGAGGCACGAAAGCGCGGGUAUCGAACAGGAUUAGAAACCCUAGUAGUCC
rnacentral:rRNA from 1 species